AAAAUACGGGAGGCAGCAGUGGGGAAUUUUGGACAAUGGGCGAAAGCCUGAUCCAGCAAUGCCGCGUGUGUGAUGAAGGCCUUCGGGUUGUAAAGCACUUUUGGCGGGAACGAAAAGGACCGUGCCAAUACCAUGGUCUGAUGACGGUACCCGCAGAAUAAGCACCGGCUAACUACGUGCCAGCAGCCGCGGUAAUUUUU
rnacentral:rRNA from 1 species